rnacentral:tRNA from 1 species
GGGCCCGUAGCUCAGCGGUACUAUGUUCAAUCAUGGUUAUUAGGCGCUAAAGAGCACCGCCCUUGCAAGGCGGGGGCCUCGGGUUCAAAUCCCGACGGGUCCA